rnacentral:rRNA from 1 species
GAUGAACGCUAGCGGCAGGCCUAAUACAUGCAAGUCGAACGGGAUCCAGAUCAAAGCUUGCUUUGGUCUGGUGAGAGUGGCGCACGGGUGCGUAACGCGUGAGCAACCUACCCUUGUCAGGGGGAUAGCCCGGCGAAAGUCGGAUUAAUACCGCAUGACAUCAUUGAGAGGCAUCUUUCGAUGAUCAAAGAUUUAUCGGACAAGGAUGGGCUCGCGUGACAUUAGCUAGUUGGUAAGGUAACGGCCUACCAAGGCUGCGAUGUCUAGGGGCUCUGAGAGGAGAAUCCCCCACACUGGUACUGAGACACGGACCAGACUCCUACGGGAGGCAGCAGUAAGGAAUAUUGGUCAAUGGACGGAAGUCUGAACCAGCCAUGCCGCGUGCAGGAGGACGGCCCUAUGGGUUGUAAACUGCUUUUAUACGGGAACAAACGUCGGUACGUGUACCGGUCUGAGUGUACCGUAAGAAUAAGGAUCGGCUAACUCCGUG